CUGAAGACCUCAGACACUGAGUAAACAAAUCACUUCUGUGCCUAGAUUCAAAACAGCACAGUCAUGAAGAUGUAUAUUUAUGCUAUAGGCAUAAGGUCUAAUGCUAACUGUCCCACACAGUCUGCUAAGGCAACCAGCUGUUUCGAAGUCUGUCAAUGAAGGACCUAGUUUUCCCUGAUGUUAGACACUGACUGCACCGCAGCGUACCCCAGGCUAGCUGUAUUAACUUCACACAAGCAGGCACAGUCCGGAUUGUGCGUCAGUCAUUUCCUGUUUUUAGAAAAUAAUCCCUGAGGAGAAAUGAAUUUUAGAGCAUUGUUACCAGUAAAAUGGCAAAUAGAAGAGGCCAAAGGUGUCAACUGGAAACCAUUCAGAGUCAGGCCCCUGGUGUGGCUUUCCUCGAAGCCUGCUCGGUUCUGUUGUCGAGCUUAUUCUCCAUCAACACACACGAAGCACCCGUUAUUUGUUGAGCAUCAGUUAAAGCCUUGAAUAUAUCGAGGAACAUGUUAACACAUCCUGCCCUUCCUGAGCCUAUCGGAGGAGAGGGGUUGAGCAGAGCCCUUUACAGGAUUGCCAGGUAAGUUAGCAAUUUAUAUUAAAAAUGACUCAUAUGGGCAUCCAUUUUCAGAAUGUGGACGUCCUUUCCCUUUAAAAUAAAAUGUUUCCGUGUGUGCAUGUACUUGUGUGUGUGUGAUCAUGUGUAUGCUGCAUGAAUGGAGUCACAGAACUACCUUGGAUGUUGCUCGUCCACAUGGUCUGUGUCAGGUCUGUUGUUCACUCCCCUGUGCACUAGGCCCUAAGUCUCAGGAUUUGUCUACUCCCCCAUCUCGCAGCAGAAGCGCUCCAAGAUGUGAUUAUAGAUACCCACUGCAUAUGGGCUCUGAGGUCAAACCCCAGUCCUUGUGUGAAAAGCACUUUGACCUACUGAGCCAUUUCCCUAGCCCUAGAGAUUUCCCAUCUCUAAGAAUUCAUAUAAGAAAAUGCUGACAUGAGCAGACACAAAUUGCAAGACUGACUACCACUCAUCGCUAGAAUCACGAUGCACGCACAUUACCAGAGCCAGAGAAUUAGCUCACUAAGAGAGCAUUUAUUUUUGUUUUUCAGGUGAGGGUUUCUCCAUGCACCUCUGGCUAUCCUGGAACUCCCUCUGUAAACCAGGCUGGCUUUGAACUCACAGAGAUCCACCUGCCUCUGCCUCUCCUUCUUGACUACUGAGAUUAAAGGUAUGUGCCACUGCAUCCAGCUAAAAAUUAUUUCAGUAAUAAUCCACACCAGAAAAAGAACAUAACCAACUAUCUGGAUAUUCAUCAAUUAAAACAAUCAUCAGAAAAACACAAAA